rnacentral:tRNA from 1 species
AGUUAAUGAACUUGAAUAAGUAUAUAUUUUGAAAAUAUAAAAUAGAAUUAAAAUUCUAUUAACUU